rnacentral:rRNA from 1 species
CGUUUUUCGUUAAGGGGGAACCUGGCGGGAGGGAAUCAUUUAACGGCGCAAGCCCUUUGAAAGGCCGGCCCGGCGGGACCCCAAGGUUCCGGCGGCCAGGCCCCCGCCACACGCCCAUCUUGUCUACUCCCAGUUGCCCGGCGGGCCUCGCGGCCGCCAGAGGAGUGAUUAAAAUCCAUGAAUACUGUUCCGUCUGAGCGUUAGCAAGUAAAAUCAGUUAAAACUUUCAACAACGGAUCUCUUGGUUCCGGCAUCGAUGAAGAACGCAGCGAAAUGCGAUAAGUAAUGUGAAUUGCAGAAUUCCGUGAAUCAUCGAAUCUUUGAACGCACAUUGCGCCCUCUGGUAUUCCGGGGGGCAUGCCUGUUCGAGCGUCAUUUCAACCCCUCAAGCGCGGCUUGUGUGAUGGACGACCGUCCCCGCCCUCCCCGGCUCCCGGGGAGGGGGACGCGCCCGAAAAGCAGUGGCCAGGCCGCGAUUCCGGCUCCUGGGCGAAUGGGCAACAAACCAGCGCCUCUAGGACCGGCCGGCUCUCUGGCCUAGUUUCCGUCAGAGAUGUAUUUCUCUGCAAUUUAGGUGACCUCCGAUCAGGUAGGAC